CAGUAGCCACGGUAAUACGGAGGGUGCAAGCGUUAAUCGGAAUUACUGGGCGUAAAGCGCACGCAGGCGGUCUGACAAGUCAGAUGUGAAAUCCCCGGGCUUAACCUGGGAACUGCAUUUGAAACUGUCAGGCUGGAGUCUUGUAGAGGGGGGUGGAAUUCCAGGUGUAGCGGUGAAAUGCGUAGAGAUCUGGAGGAAUACCGGUGGCGAAGGCGGCCCCCUGGACAAAGACUGACGCUCAGGUGCGAAAGCGUGGGGAGCAAACAGGAUUAGAUACCCCGGUAGUCCCUGUCUCUUAUAC
rnacentral:rRNA from 1 species